AGCUUCUUCAAGGUAAUGAUAAGAAGUCAGAAUCAUGAAUGUGUGAGAGAGCGUUGAUUGUUUGUCGUUUUAUUAUAUUUGUUUUGGCACCUACAUGACAAGGCCAUGAGGUUUUAUGUCGUCAAGGGGUGUGAUUUCUGGCUAUUGAAGCCAAAAUGGAAACUAAGUUUGUGACAUGACAAGAGACCAAACAAAAAAAACUGCCUUUGCGUUUAAACAAAAAGAUUGUACAAACUCUUCCUCCCAAGUCCAGACAUGGGUUCAUUUGCUCUUGUUUUUGUCGGUUGC
rnacentral:lncRNA from 1 species